AUUGAACGCUGGCGGCAGGCCUAACACAUGCAAGUCGAGCGAGCGGCGGACGGGUGUGUAUUGUCUGGGAAACUGCCUGAUGGAGGGGGAUAACUACUGGAAACGGUAGCUAAUACCGCAUACCAUCAGAUGCGCCCAGAUGGGAUUAGCUAGUGGGUGGGGUAACGUCUCACCUAGGCGACGACCCCUAUCUGGUCUGCGAGGAUGACCAGCCAACCUGGAACGGGUCAACGGCCCAUACUCCUCCGGGAGGCAGCAGUGGGGAAUAUUUCACAAUGGGCGAAAGCCUGAUGCGGCCAUGCCGCGUGGGUGAAGAAGGCCUUCGGGUUGUAAAGCACGUUCAGCGGGGAGGCGUUACCCGAAGAAGAAGCACCGGCUAACUCCGUGCCAGCAGCCGCGGUAAUAC
rnacentral:rRNA from 1 species